rnacentral:lncRNA from 1 species
AAGUUUCACAAAGGCAAGGCAAUCACAGUGUGGCUCCCCGAUACCCAUGGGUAGGAAAGACCAUGGAGGGAGCGACGCCGUGGGAAGGCCUCAAAUCCCGAUGAUCCGGGGUAGUAAUAAAGAGAAGAGAAAGGUGGCUUCAAGGCCAUAGUAACAGCGCCAGUGUAGAGCAACCUGACUCGUGAAGUGCCCCUGCCGCCCCAGAGACGCCCUUGGGAUAGAUACGACUCAUGAGGAGGGUCACGCCCAGGGUAGACAGGUGCGAGGUACGAGAGGAAGGUAGAUACGCUCUCGUAGUGAGUGACUAGAUGUUGGGGGCAUGAGUUGGCACCCAAAGAGUCACCCCUAGCGCAGACGCACUCCCAGGUAGGAGGACUCACACGAGGAGAUACCC